rnacentral:tRNA from 9 species
GAUUCCGUAGCUCAGUUGGUAGAGCAAUACACUUUUAAUGUAUGGGCCCUGGGUUCGAGUCCCAGCGGGAUCACCA